rnacentral:rRNA from 1 species
UACGGGGGGGGUAAGCGUUGUUCGGAAUUACUGGGCGUAAAGGGCUCGUAGGCGGCCAACUAAGUCAGACGUGAAAUCCCUAGGCUCAACCUAGGAACUGCGUCUGAUACUGGAUGGCUUGAAUCCGGGAGAGGGAUGCAGAAUUCCAGGUGUAGCGGUGAAAUGCGUAGAUAUCUGGAGGAAUACCGGUGGCGAAGGCGGCAUCCUGGGCCGGCAUUGACGCUGAGGAGCGAAAGCUAGGGGAGCAAACGGG